rnacentral:rRNA from 1 species
UGGGGAAUUUUGGACAAUGGGCGAAAGCCUGAUCCAGCCAUUCCGCGUGAGUGAAGAAGGCCUUCGGGUUGCAAAGCUCUUUCGGCGGGGACGAAACGGUUAUGGUUAAUACCUGUGACUAAUGACGGUACCCGAAGAAGAAGCACCGGCUAACUACGUGCCAGCAGCCGCGGUAAUACGUAGGGUGCGAGCGUUAAUCGGAAUUACUGGGCGUAAAGGGUGCGCAGGCGGUUAUUUAAGACAGAUGUGAAAUCCCCGGGCUCAACCGGGGAACUGCGUUUGUGACUGAAUGGCUAGAGUGCGGCAGAGGGGGGUAGAAUUCCACGUGUAGCAGUGAAAUGCGUAGAGAUGUGGAGGAAUACCGAUGGCGAAGGCAGCCCCCUGGGUCAGCACUGACGCUCAUGCACGAAAGCGUGGGGAGCAAACAGG